rnacentral:rRNA from 1 species
CUGGCUCAGGAUGAACGCUAGCUACAGGCUUAACACAUGCAAGUCGAGGGGCAGCAUGGAGUUUGCUUGCAAACUCUGAUGGCGACCGGCGCACGGGUGAGUAACGCGUAUCCAACCUUCCCUAUAGUAGAGGAUAGCCCGGCGAAAGUCGGAUUAAUACUCUAUGUUUUCCGUUGCAGACAUCUAAGAUGGAACAAAGGCUUGCCGCUAUAGGAUGGGGAUGCGUCUGAUUAGGUAGUCGGCGGGGUAACGGCCCACCGAGCCAUCGAUCAGUAGGGUUCUGAGAGGAAGGUCCCCCACAUUGGAACUGAGACACGGUCCAAACUCCUACGGGAGGCAGCAGUGAGGAAUAUUGGUCAAUGGACGAGAGUCUGAACCAGCCAAGUAGCGUGCAGGACGACGGCCCUAUGGGUUGUAAACUGCUUUUAUGCGGGGAUAAAGUUCACUACGUGUAGUGUUUUGUAGGUACCGCAUGAAUAAGGACCGGCUAAUUCCGUGCCAGCCGCAGC